rnacentral:lncRNA from 1 species
CGCUGCUAUCCAGUACCUCAUCAGCGCUUAUAAUUUAGCCGCUCCAGACUAACUCCAGGGAGGAGGUGCCUGAAUUCAGCUGAUGGGGUUGGACAAGGUUUGCAGUGGAGAAAUGAAGCUAAAGGGAUCUUGUGAGGAGCCCGAUGUCUUUGCUGCUUCUACACCUGAAUACAUCACAGGAACUGAUGGAUUAUACGCUUGCACUUUUCCAGUCCCUUAAGGGUUAGAGGGGGUUUUUCCAUUCAGGGACUGCUGUAUGUAGAGGGUGACAGUGGGACAUGCAGAUCACUCCCCAACCCACCUCUCUUUCCCCUCCCGGAUGAUCCAGCAGAAACAAUAAAGAAUAUAAGGUUAAAUCACAGUUUCACUUAAAAACUUGAUUGCUGCCAGUGUUUGCA